rnacentral:rRNA from 1 species
CCUACGGGAGGCAGCAGUGAGGAAUAUUGGUCAAUGGGCGGAAGCCUGAACCAGCCAAGUCGCGUGAGGGAAUAAGGCCCUACGGGUCGUAAACCUCUUUUGCCGGGGAGCAAGGACGGGGACGUGUCCCGACCCGGCGACUACCCGGUAAAAAAGCAUCGGCUCACUCCGUGCCAGCAGCCGCGGUAAUACCGGGGAUGCUAGCGUUAUCCGGAUUUAUUGGGGUUAAAGGAUGCGUAGGCGGGCUGUUAAGUCAGCGGUAAAAAUUCGGGGUUGAACCCCGUCCGGCCGUUGAAACUGGGGGCCUUGAGUGGGCGAGAAGAAGGCGGAAUGCGUGGUGUAGCGGUGAAAUGCAUAGAUAUCACGCAGAACCCCGAUUGCGAAGGCAGCCUGCCGGCGCCCUACUGACGCUGAGGCACGAAAGUGCGGGGAGCGAACAGGAUUAGAUACCCCUGUAGUC